AGCGCAGGCGGAAGAGUCAGUCUGAAGUGGAAUCCCGGGGCCUAACCUCGGACGGGCUUCGGAUACUGCUCUUCUCGAGUACGUGAGAGGAAGGCGGAAUUCAGGGUGUAGCGGUGAAAUGCUUAGAUAUCCUGAGGAACACCAGUGGCGAAAGCGGCCUUCUGGCACUGUACUGACGCUGAGGCUCGAAAGCGUGGGUAGCGAACG
rnacentral:rRNA from 1 species